GCUGCGCCAUGUGGUUUGAUGAUCUGCUUGAUAUCAAACAAUUUCAAUCAGAUGGUCAGGAUCUUUACGUUAGAGUGUCUGCUUCAGAAUCAGGUACUGCUUUAUAAACUACAUGUUCUUGUUACAUCUUGCGAUAAUGCUUUUUGGGUUUUUGUGUGUACAAGCCCAAUCUAAACCCUUCCCAAACCCAUUACAAAACAACCCACCAGCCCAAACCCAAGCCCAACUACUAGCCCAAUAACCCAAACACUUUCAGAAAAAACCUAACCCCUAACCCUAGCCGUCGCACCCAUCACCUACCCUCUGCCACCGCCACCAACCCCGCCGUUCACCUACCCUCUGCCACCGUCCCAUCACCUCUCCCAUGCCACUUGCAUCUGCAAAAAUAAAGAAGAAAAGACAGAAAACAAAAAAUAAUAGAAAGUUGUAGAAGGCUAUAUUAAGCCACCGAAACUAUUUUGUAAAGGGGGGUACUCUUUGUAACAAAACAGAGAUUAGCAGAAAAAGAAAUACAAUACAAACUAAGUUUUAAGGUGAUUUCCACCCCUUUUCGUUUUCAUAUUUUACCAUUUUUAUUUUACUUUUUCUUUUUUGUUCAUCUAUUUAUAUACAUAUAAUAAAUAAUAAUAAUAAAAAAGGAGAGGGAAACUCACCGAGGGGAGGCGAUUCGGCGAAAAAAGGGGAAAUUUACCUGCCUUUUGGACUUCCGGCCACCGUGUACGGUGGCCGGAGCAACGCCGGCACGACGGACGGUUCGACGGACGGCGACCGAAGCUCGCCGGACUCUGGACUACCCCCAGAGGUCUCCCCUCCCUCUCUCUCCUCUUUUUUUUCCCUCAGCAGCACAAAAUGAUGUUUUUUUUGCAAAAGGGGGGUAUUUAUACCCCCCUGAAACGGCGCCGUUUCGGCAAAAGGGGGUUCGCGCGUCGACCCGCGACCCGACCCGCUCCGACCCGAAGGAUCCGCGUGUUUUUAAUUUUUGGGCUAUUUACGCGCGCAGUCCCUCUGACUUGUGGCGUGUUUCAAUUUGGUCCUAUUUCGCUAUUUCUUUGUUUUUAAUUUGACCACAAAUUUUUAUUUCUGUUUCAUUUUAGUCCCCUGAAGCGCCGCGUUUUGAGAUUUUGGUCUAUUUUCCAUUUUGGUCCCUCUUCUUUCCGUGCGUGUUACAAUUUAGUCUUUUUAGUCCUUUUUUAUUUCGAAUCUGCCCAGUACUUUUUAUUUUACUUCGAUUUAGUCCUCUUUUUAGUACUUUUGCUAUUAUUAUUAUUAUUAUUAUUAUUAUUAUUAUUAUUAUUAUCAUCUUUACUAUUAUUAGUAUUGGUAUUAUUGUUGUUACUUUUAUAUCUCUAUUCAUAUUUACUUAUGUAUUUUUAAAUAUAUAUAUGUCUUAUUAUUAUCAUAUAAGUGCUUGUACAUAUACAUGUACAUAUUUUACAUAUAAUUUGUUUAAUAUAUAUACGUAUACUCAUAUUUCUUUUUUAUAUAUAUCUAUAUACAUAUACAUAUUUUUAUUUUUAUAAGUAUAUAUAUUUAUAUGUAUGUAUUUAUAUAUUUUUGUAUAUCUUAAUUUGCAUAGACAUAUACAUACAUAUUUUCAAUAUAUUUUAAACAUAUAUAUAUAAAUUAACGUAUUUAUUUGUAUACGUAUGUAUAUUUUCAUUAUUUUUAAACUUUAAUUUGUACAUACAUAUUUUCAUGCGCCUACUUUAUAUAUGCAUUUCAUUAAUUUCAUAUUCCAUAAUUUUAUACACCUAUAUAUAUACGUACAUAUUUUUAUAUAUAUGCAUAUUUUUUCUUCUUUAUAUUUUAAAAUAUACUUUAUAUAUUUUGUAAUUUAUGAAUACACACAUAUUUUAUUUUUUGUCUAUACAUAUAUAUAUAUAUAUCCCCUUACAUUUUAAUUGUAUUCACUAUUUAUUUAUUUCAUUUUCAUUAUUAUUUUGAACUAAUGUUUAAUUUAUUUGUUUAUAUACAUUGUUAUUUUAUAUGAUUGUAGGUUUGACUUUUAUUUAUUUUAUAUUGUUGCUAUUGCUCGUAUCAUUUUUACACUUUUGUAUUCAUUAUGAUUUUGUCAUGUAUAACAAUGUAAUUUGCUUUCACAUUUUUACUACGACUUCAUGUUUUUAUUUCACUCGAUAAUAAAAUUUGUUUUAAAAAAAAUGAUAUUUUGUGUUUAGAUUCGAGAGGAUCGUACCCUAACUUACUGGGUUUCGAUUUCCACAAUAAAUCUAAAUACACUAAUCUUUUCAAACUCAAGUUUUGAAACGAUCUCGGGAAUUAAGAAAAGAUCGUGUCCUAACUUACUGGGCAUGAUCCCUUUCCUAAACCCGAGAUAAUAAAAUAUCUUUUAAAUAAGUAAAAUUCUGGCAUUCAUUCACGUAUUGGGAAUUUGAGACAUUGUAUUCUAACUUACUGGAUAUGAUUCUCUUUCUCGAAUAAUGUGAAAUAUGCCCAUUUUCCUAAAAAUUUUCAACGUUUUAAUACAAGGAUCGUAUUUUUUAAAUUCUUCUAAGUUUUUCAAUUUUCGACAUUAAGACAUUAAGUAAUCAACUAAGGUACCAAUUUUGGGCGUAUCGAGGGUGCUAAUCCUUCCUCGUGCGUAACCGACUCCCGAACCCGUUUUCUGAAUUUCGCGGACCAAACUUGUUGUUUUAAUAAAAUCAAACCGUUUAUUAAAAACAACCGCUUUUCAAGGUGAUCCAAUCACACCUUAUAAAAAAGAUUGGUGGCGACUCCUGUUUCAUUUUUUUCAAAACCCAAGUCGACCCCGUUUUUAUCCAAAAAAAUGGUGUCAACAGCUUGGCGACUCCACUGGGGAACAGAUUUGGGAGAGUCGAGCCAUUUGUUGAUUACUUUGUUUUUUUGUCAAAGAUUGAAAACUUGACACGAUCCUUGUGUUGCAUUUCAUUCGUCUUUAUUUCAGUCAUUAUCAUUUUGUUUAUAAUUACUUCGUUUAGAUGUAUAUUUCUGCACAUUGCAUUGCAUGACCGUUGGUCACACCUUUUUAAGUGGGAGUGAGAAACUACGCCUUCGUGAGGUUUUCACCUCCGCAUGGGAUAGUGAAUCGCUUCCGGGAUACAUCCGUACCUAUGUCUUCGUGAGAUUCUCAUCUCCGCAUGGCCAUAGGGAAAUGUAUCCCCCUGAAUCGAACUUGGUCCGUAUGAGCCUAUAAUGGGUGAGGAUCGAGGAAUUUGCUGGUUCAGGUACCCUACUUUAGAACCAAACCACAUGUAAUGAGCCAUAGGAACCGACCUAGGUAGAGCUACUCUAAAUUUUUAGUGCUUACCUAAAUGAAUGUUGUAUUUAUUUGUCGCUUAUUUUAAAUCUUAUUCUGUGUUUAAUGCUAAUUUACUUUGUUUGUGAUUGCAUGGCAUCUUCAUUCUAAAAGAGGUGUCGAUUCACGUUCAAUUUCUUGGUAGAAAGCUUAUCAUGGAAAAGGGGUUUGUUGAUAAAGUAGAGGAUAAUGCGGCUGUGCGAAUAUGGGCUGAAACGACACAACGGGAGAAAGGCGAUAGUCUUACCGAAGGGUACGUGUCAGAAUUGUGGGAUUUUACCCGUAUCAGUGUAAUCCAGAAUGACCUUCGAGAAAUGAAAGAAGUCUGGGAUCAAUGGGAUGUCGAGGCCAAGCAGCUGUUCUAUUGUAACUACGGUGACCUACCUUACCUGCUUAGUGUCAAAGUGGACAAGUAUUUAUUCCGAGCCCUUACUCAGUUUUGGAAUCCUGCCUACAGUUGUUUCACUUUUGGGAAGGUAGAUUUGACGCCUACUGUGGAGGAGUAUACGACCUUGCUUCGGUGCCCAAAGAUUCAAGUCGACAAGGCUUAUUCUAGAGCUGCAUGUGUCCCUCCGUUGUUAAAGAAAUUAAUGAACAUCACUGGGAUGAGCGAGCAGUGGGUCGCUGCCCGGAUCCAAUAGAAGGGCGACAGUAAAUGUGUUCCUUGGAAAAGUUUGCGAGAUUUGGUGCUUGUACAUCCUGACUUAAAGAAAAGGGUCGAUGUCUUCGCUUUAGGUAUCUAUGGACUAGUGGUUUUCCCCAAAGCUUUAGGACACAUAGACGAGGCUGUAUCUGAUUUGUUCGAUCGGCUUAGUAAAGGGGUUACACCGGUUCCGCCAAUACUCGCUGAAACUUUUAGAUCCUUGAAUGCGUGUCGAAAAGCAGGGGAGGGAAGGUUUAUAGGAUGCGCGCAGCUCUUAUUGGCAUGGUUCCAUAGCCACUUUUGGAAAGUCGAAAAGGUCUCUUAUCGGGUAUUCUCUGAUAGCUACUCCCCUCUAGGAGAAUUGGUGGCCACGCCAAGACGGGAUGAUAUUUCAGAAGAAAAAUGGAUAGAGAUACUCCAGAAUCUCCAAGAUGAAGAUAUUGAAUGGAGGGCUCCUUGGUUAAUUCCUGAUGAGAUAUUGUACCGAUAUGGAGAUUUUGACUGGGUUCCGCUGCUCGGGAUAUGGGGAGCUAUCGGAUAUGCUCCUCUACUCGUAUCAAGACAGUAUAGAUCACGACAAUUCAUACCAGCAACCCAGGGGUUGGCUUAUAGUGAUUUUUCCUAUAGGGAGGACAAUUACAAGAAGAAGGUUCGAGAAAUAUCUAGUGCCUGGAACCAGACUCGUCGAAUGAAGAUCUUAACCGUGGGUCCGACAAUUACCCCCGAGUAUGGUCAGUGGCGUGAUCAAAGGAUCAACGACAACAUCCCGGUGUCAAAUUCAGAAACUGCUCGAUCUUUAGAGGAAUACUUACAAGUUUUGCCUUCUGAGAUAGAAAUCAUCAAACAAGAAUUCGAAAAAAGAAGUUUAGAAUUGGGAAAGAAGAUAGAACAACUAGAGGAAGAAAAAAUGCAGUUAGGACUGGAUGUGGACAUUCAAAUAUUAGAGGCCAACAAAUUGAGAAAAGGAAAGAACAAGGCAGAAGAAGAUUUGGACAGCCUGAAGACAGAUUACAAGAAGUUGCGUAAGUCGGUAAGAGCCGCUGGCUUGGGUAAAACACCAGAACAAUGGCGACAAGAAAUUCAGGAGGAAAAGACGAAAGCUAAUCAAUGGGAAAAGAAAUUUCAGGAUACUCGGGCUCGAGAAGUCGCCUUGGGAAAGAGUCUACUAGUUUGCCAAGACGAGAAGACGGAGUUGAAGGUCCGGAUAACUGAACUAGAAAGAUCGCUUCACCAGUACUGUAAUCGUAAUGCUACGGUUGAAUUAAGGGCGAGCUUAGACAAAAUUGAAGAAUUAAAAAGACAGAUAGGAGGGCUAGGGAAUGCAUUGCAAAAUAGUGAAAUUCGGAUAGAGCUUCUGGAAGAAAGUAAUGAGCAGUGGCAAAGACAAUUCCGUCGGUCUCAAGAGCAGAUUGGAGAAAGAGAUUAUAUUAUGGGAAAGGCGGUGACUCAAGUGCGCGAAGUAGCUGAUCAUCUGCAAACUCUAGCGGUUCAGCUGAUCUAUUAAGUUUGAAGUAUGAGUCAGAGUCGGACAGGGGCCGGGAAUUAGCUUGGCUUCUUAGAAAGGUUAAGGCUUUGAGUGUGAGGGCAAAGCCAUAUAUGUAGUCUAUUUUAUGUAAAGAAACUCUUUAUCUAGUAAAGUUUUCUAAUGAAGUUGAAUUAGAAUCAGUGCCUCUUUUCCUUUGCAUUCUUUUCAUGCAUUGCAUCACAUCAUAUGCAUUAAUGACCAUUAAAAACCUAAUCGAAUAAAAUCAUUUCAGUUAACCUGGAAAACCAACAAAGUUACGGCACCCGAGCUAAGACAAAAAAUAUGGACCAAAGGUUGGAGAAGCUAGAGCGACUUCAAAGAGAAAUGCAAGACCAGUUGCAGGCGCAAAUGAAAGAGCAAAUAGAAAAGAUUCAGCGUGACAUGGUACAAAAGAUGGAGGAGUCCCAAAAUGAUCUGGUGGCUAAGAUGACGCAAUUAUUGAAGGGAGUAGAUAAGGGUAAAGGGCCUGUGAUUGUUAGUGAAGAAGAAAACAAUGGUGAACCACUUUAUCCUCCAGGUUUCACGCCUCCGCAUGCGCAAGUACAGACUGAGCUGCAUCCGCGGAGACCCUCUGUGUCGGUUAGGCCCCAGCAGUUCCAAGGCGAUGCUUCAAUUCCAAUAAAUUUUCAACCCGGAGCGGGCUUUAAUCCCGGUGAUAGCCCGAAUAAUAUUGCUGUCCCAGAUCUUGACGAGAUGGUUGAAAAGGAUAAGGCGAAGGAGGAAUUUCCAAAAUAAUUUGAGGAGAAAUGGAAAUGGAUAGAAGAGAAGUUUAGGGCAAUAGAAAGCAUCGAAAGCUAUGGAAUAGAUGCAAAGGAUCUGAGCUUGGUUCCGGACUUGGUGCUCCCUUACAAAUUUAAGAUGCCGGAAUUCGAGAAAUAUAAUGGGACCAGCUGCCCAGAAGCUCAUAUUACUAUGUUCUGUAGGCGUAUGGCCGGAUACGUCAACAACGACCAACUGCUCAUACACUGCUUUCAAGAUAGCCUCACAGGGGCAGCGUCUAAGUGGUACAAUCAAUUGACGCGUAUCCAGAUUAGUUCUUGGAGGGAUUUAGCACAAGCCUUUAUGAAACAAUACAGUCAUGUAGCUGAUAUGGUCCCUGACAGAAUAACCCUGCAAAAUAUGGAGAAAAAACCUAAUGAAAGUUUUAGGCAAUACGCACAAAGGUGGAGGGAGGUCGCUAUCCAAGUUCAGCCGCCGCUCCUAGAGAAAGAAAUGACGAUGCUCUUCAUCAACACAUUGAAGGCCCCGUUCAUCACCCACAUGUUAGGAAGUGCUUCGAAGAGUUUUUCAGACAUAGUCAUGAGCGGUGAAAUGAUUGAAAGUGCCGUGAGAAGUGGAAAGAUUGAUGCUGGGGAGAAUAAUAGAAAGUCAGACUUAAAGAAGAAUGAAAAUGAUGUGAGUAAUGUCAACACUUACAACAAAUCGAUUACACAGCCAAGAAAGGUGACUGCUAGUCAGCAAGGUUCAUCUAGACAAGAAAUUAGUGUGAAACAAGGUACUGAGAACCUCCAGUUCACGCCAAUCCCGAUGUCGUAUAACGAGCUGUAUCAAAAGUUAUUCGAUGCACGCAUUGUUUCUCCUUUCUACUCAAAACCUCCACAGCCACCGUACCCCAAAUGGCACGAUGCGAAUGCACAUUGCGAAUAUCAUGCGGGAAAUACGGGGCAUUCCAUAGAGAACUGCAUAGCCUUCAAGAAACUGGUUGAAAAGCUCAUCAACAUGGGUGUCGUCAAGUUUGGUGACUCAUCUAAUGCAGAAAAUUCGCCACCCAAUCAUGAUUAACAAUGGGGUGAACGCAAUAUAUGAGAAAGUGUUGGGAAGUUUUCACAUCAAUACCAUAUAUGAAGGCAUAAUUGAAAAGGGAUCUUGUUAGAUGUCUGCCCUUAUAAACCUGGAGUGUUCCAAGCAAUGGGCUUGUAGAAGAAAUCCCUGUAGUUUUUAGAGCUUAUUUAGAGUAAUGUUCAGAACAUUUUUGCUGUUUUUAGCCUGAAGCGAUAGAAAUUCCUUUGUGAAAUAGGCUAAUGUCUGAACGUUAUUAUUCUAAUAAAAUACAUCUUUGCGUUCCUUUUUGAGCCAAUAUUCUCUCAUUCUUUUUAAUAAUUAUUUUUGAUUAUUUCAUUCUGUUGGAUUUUCUUCCACAACAUUCAUUCAUAAUCAUAUUGUAAAUAAUCAUUCAUAAAUUUAUACAUUCUUUUGUAUAUUCCUCGGUGCUUAUUAUGAGUCCUCAGAUAUCAAUAACAUGAAUGAAACUGCUGCAAACUCAGAUUUUCCACUUGAGUGAGGCAUGUGCUUAGAUGGAUCUCAUGACUUUGGAAAUGACAUAGAUAGUAGCUUACCCCCAAACUUAUUGAGGAUGGUUGAGUAGGAGGAUAGACAGAUCCUACCUCACAAUGAAUCACUAGGAAUUCUGAGCUUGGAAUUGACUUGUCCUCAAAAAUGAAGCAAGACCUUGUUCAAAGAUGUCUUUGUAGGAUCAUACCAGGAUAUGCCGGGUUAAGCAUUGAUAAUGAAAUCUGCACAACAAUACGAUGUCCAAACUCGUAUGAAUGAUACAAUUCUUUGCCGGGGCAAUACCGUUCUCGUCAAUUCAGCAUAGCUUUGCCCGUUUGAAGUCGAGUUUCUAUUCCUUCAAGAUGUUGCUGGAUUUUAUCCCGAUGGAAGAAGAAGAUCAAAAGUUUCCAGUUGUAGUUUUGCCCUAAAAGGCUCUAUAAAGGAAAUUCGAUAUCAGAGAAGAUCCUUUGAAGGGGAUAACAAGGACUUGCCUAAUCCCAAGAGUUUAGAUCCGAUUCAAAAAACAAGGGAAAAGAAAAAAAAACAAAAUCAAAAUCAAAAUAAAAAAUAAAAACAAAGAGAAAUCAAUCAAAGUCAAAAUAAAAAUAUGAAAAGCAAAGAAAAGAAAAGGAGAGGCCAAGGCGAAAAACCAAAAAGGCGCUUUGUGACCAAAAGUGGUUUUGAGUGGAAAACCCAAAAAGGGUGACUCAAAUUUUGAGCAAAAUGGGGCAUGGACAUCACCAUUAUCGAAGACUUCUAAUGGGCAUUGCUUCACUAUUGAGAUCAUUAAUUACUUCAUCAAAUGGAUAAAGGCUACAGUAUGCGUCAAUGUCAUCAUAUGCCAAUAUAGAAUUCCAGAGACGAUGGUAUGGGAAAAUGUAUUGAACUAGAAUGACAACAUGAUAGUUGAGGGCUGUAAUCGGUUCAAAAUCAGACAUCACAGUUUGUCACUGUAUUGUAAGACAAUGAAGUUCAAAAAAAAGAAAAAGAUGAAGAAUGAAAAUGGAAAAUGAAAAGAGUAAAAUGGAGAGGCUAAGGGGAAAACCCGCAAAGGGCGCCUUAGGCCAAAGGGGAUCUGAGCUGAAAACCCGAAAAGGGCGGCUCAAAUACUGAUCAAAAUGGGGCAUGAGGUGAUAUAAGCUGCUCAAGUUUUGUUCAUAUUGAGGCAUGUGUUGAUCUUGCCAUGCCUGAAUCAACAGGAAAGGAUAGGCGACAUCUUGGGGGCAUCGACAGAGCAUUGUAGAUCUCCUAAACACAUGUCCAACUCAAAAGGGUCUUCAGAAAGUUUGUAUAGAGAAGUUCAAGCUGUGAUAUCUGGGGCACCAAAUUCUCAUGUUAUUUGUUGUUCUUGGAAUACUUUUUCUUUCUUUCCAAGAUAUACAUUCCCAAUUAAUUCUUUUGUUGUCCUUCUUCACUAUUUUCGAUAAUUUGUUCUUUCGAGCUAUGCUCAGAACCAACUUUAUUCUUAUCCAUUGUUAUGACCUUUUUGCAAGCAUUGGAAUAAUGAUUAAUGGACUAAUAAAACUUUCACAAAGGAAGUUUUGCAUAUUACUCUGAAAAGUUUCUAAAUAAUACAGGAACCUGAAACAUGACUAUUGUUUAGAAAAUACCAAGUUUAAAGGGUGAAAUAGCUAAGAAGGAAGAGUCUAAGUUAAAGACUAUCCUUUCAGAUUUUGUUGUCUAAACAUUGAUUGAACAAAAUGACAAGCUGUCGUGUUAAUUACGAAGCUUAAAUGAACAAGCAAGCAAUGAUCAUCAGGCAAUAGGAAAAGGUUACCUCGGAGAAGAGAGCCUUCACUUGCUCAUAAGACCUUGGUACGACACUUUGAGAAUGGUGUAGGAAACCAGAACGGUUCAGAUACUAUAUCCCCGGGUUGUGAUAAAAGAGGACAGAGGAAAAGCCACAUAUUUCUACCCUUAGAUUACUGUGAGAGAAUGAUGGUACAAAUUUUGGCGUCCCAGUGGAUAUAACUUUGAGGUUUACAAUGGGAACAGUCUGGCUAAAUGUUCCUUCAGAAGAAUCAGUCAAGCGAGAAAGCGUUGUAGCACGUCAGUCACAAAACUUUGAUAAACUGCGAGUAGUGAUAACCUAAGCGAGAUCAUUCUCGGAAAAAUAAAAUUCUGCAUUCAUGCAAACACCAUUCACAUAUGUCUAGUUUGGAGCAUUUGUUUCAUUUUGAUCAUGUCAUCCUAAUCAUUAGGCAUAAUUAGGUUCAUAAUACAGGUCUUAUCUCCCUGAGAUUACAGUGGAACAGACCAAAGAAUUUCAGAUCUUAUCUCCCUGAGAUUACAGCGGAGCAGAUCAAAGAUAGUAAUCCUAUCUCCUUGAGAUUACAAUGGAGCGGAUUAAAGGAUCUUAUCUCUCUGAAGUUACAGUAGAGAAGAUCACAUCAGGUCUUAUCUCCCUGAGAUUACAGUGGAACAGACCAAAGAAUUUCAGAUCUUAUCUCCCUGAGGUUACAGUGGAGCAGAUUGAAGCCAGAGAUCUUAUCUCCCUGAGAUUACAGCGGAGCAGAUCGAAGACACUAUCCUAUCUCCCUGAAGUUACAGUGGAGUGGAUUAAAAUAAAGGAUCUUAUCUCUCUGAGGUUACAGCAGAGUAGAUCGCAUCAAGUCUUAUUUCCCUGAAGAUGCAGUGGAACAGACUGAAAACAAUAAGGCGUGUCUCCCUAAAGUUGUAGCAGAAUGGACAGUAGAUAGCAAUUCUUAUCAUGUCUAAUCUUAUCCCCCUGAAGUUGUAGUGGGGCAAGUUGAAGAUAUGAGUCCGAUCUCCCUGAAGUUGCAGUGGAGCGGGUCAAAAUGAUGGACCUUACCCCCUGAAGUUACAACAGAAUGGAUUGAAGCCACAAGUCAUAUCUCUUCUUGAAAUUGCAGAGGAGAGGAUCGACGCAACAAGACAAAGUGGAUUGAAAUGAAGCUACCUGAAAAAGAAAAGCACCAAGAAGUCGAGACUCGACGAGACCGGGCAAAAUUGGGCUUUCUUAGUCUUUGCUCUGUUAUCGUUACAUGACAACGAGCAAAGAGAGGCAGCUGUACAAGCCCAAUCUAAACCCUUUCCAAACCCAUUACAAAACAACCCACCAGCCCAAACCCAAGCCCAACUACUAGCCCAAUAACCCAAACACUUUCAGAAAAAACCUAACCCCUAACCCUAGCCGCCGCACCCAUCAC
rnacentral:lncRNA from 1 species